UACGUAGGGAGCGAGCGUUGUCCGAAGUUACUGGGCGUAAAGCGCGCGUAGGCGGGCUGUUAAGUGAGAGGUGAAAGGCUGGGGCUUAACCCCAUGCAGUGCCUCUCAUACUGGCGGUCUUGAGUGCGGCAGGGAGAAGUGGAAUGGCUGGUGUAGCGGUGAAAUGCGUAGAUAUCGUAAGGAAGACCAGUGGCGAAGGCGGGUCUCUGGACAGUUCCUGACGCUGAGGCACGAAGGUCAGGGGAGCAAACGGG
rnacentral:rRNA from 1 species